rnacentral:lncRNA from 1 species
GAAUCUUAAGGAAUCGGUGAGUCAAGGGCGAGUGGACUCAGAGUCGUUGAACUCGGCGAGUCUUGGGGUGACUCGGCGAGUUAGGUCGCGGGUUAAGUGAAGUUCUGAGUAUGGGGACUCGGCGAGUCAUAGGGUUGACUCGACGAGUAGGGUCAGUCAGGGGUUGACUUUGACCUUGUCUUUGACCAAGGAUUGACCAGUGGUUCCAGGGGUAUUUUGGUAAUUGUUGUUUAUUGUUUGAGUUCAGUGCAUUGGUGGCUGUCCAGAGGUGGAGAUCGUAUCAGUGAUCGGAGCAGCUUGAGCUAUCUGUUCAGUCGGCAGUUUCGAGGUGAGUUAUCCUCACUAUAUCGCUAGGGUUUAUGGCGCCAAGGCCGACCCUUUUUAUCGGAUGGAAAUCCGGGUAGUUGUCAUUAUAUGUUACAGGCCGGAAGGCAUUACUAUGUGGACCGGAAGGUCAUGGCCUGGAAAGGCGUAUGUAUGCAUUUAGUAUGUUGACUGAUUCAUAGGGUAAUGUUAUGAUAGUGACCGGCUAGACCGGUAUCUUGUUAGAGUAAUGCUAUGAUAUGUGAUCUGUUGAUCGAUUGUUGUCUAUGAACUGCUAUAUGAUUAUUUGUUAUGUUAUAUAUGCAUUUUAUGCUUAUGGGCCGGAAGGCAAUAUGUUAUGGGCCGGAAGGCAAUAUGUUAUGGGCCGGAAGGCGAUAUGUUAUGGGCCGGAAGGCGUAUAUGUGGUUGGUAUUCUGGGGGUAUCUCACUAAGCUUUCGGGCUUACAGUUGUGGUUUUAUGUUUCAGGUUCUCAAGAGUCUGUGGCAAGGCAAAGGCGUGAUCGUACCGUUCCUCGCGUUGGUGUUUUAUGAUAUGAACCUGGGAAAUUACUCUGUUUAAUAAUGUAUUGAAAACCUUUUUGCAACAAUGUUAAUAAAAUGGGUGAUUUUGAAAAGUUUUAAUUGUUUUGAAAUUUUGGAUGUUACAAGUUGGUAUCAGAGCCUUGGUUUGAGUGAAUUGGGGAAACAUUCGUGUGACUCCAGUCUCAAAUCGAGGAGGAUUUUAAAAAGAGAAAUUAAAAUGAGAAAUUAAAAUGGUUUUCAAAUUUGGUAAAAGGAGGACGCGGAGGUACGAUCAGCCGGAGCCAGUAAGUAACCCCAAGAUACCAUACAUGAUAUUUGUUUAUUUGAGCUUGAUAGCACAGCAUGCUAGAGUUAGGCUAGGGAUCUUCAGGAAUUCAUGAUAAUGUUGCCUGAUAUGUGAUGCCUGUAGCCUAGGGUCCCUUAUGGGAUGUUCUCAGUGUUCCUCUAGUGGUGAGGGUUGAUAGUUGUUAUGCAUGUUCCCUAGGGUAUUGUGGUAGUACUUCAUACAAAUAUGGGUAGGUGUGGAAGGUAGUAUGGGCCCGUACUACUGAAAGCACAGGACCCAUACGCGUAUCAGGGAAACCAUGGUCUCUAGGGUAGGGUUGCGAGAGUUGGAUCCCAGGAUUUUGGGAAGUGUCUGAGAUUGGUAGGGUGUCUUCAGUAUGGAGAUUUCGAGGCAUGAUGAUAGUGGAUCCGGAUCAGGAUCGGGAGCUGGAGAGCGAGUUCCGGGUGGAUCGGUGCCGUCGGAGGUUAUCGAUCGGACGAGCACGAGCGAGCGGGAUGCGAGGAUUCGCGAGAUCCUGCGUGAUGAGGUUGCUGCAUUGUUACGGGCUGAGUUGCCAGAAUGGUUUGGGUCGAUCAGGACCGCCAUGGUUGAGUAGUUUGAUGAGCGAUAUGCGGCUCUCGCAGAGACGGCUGCCGCGGCGGUUACAGCGGCUGUAGCAACGGCAAAGGGAAGACCUAGUCGGGGUUUCGGUAUCGGAACUUCUAUUAUACGAAGCCUCCCACAUCCGAGGGAGUUCAGGACCCGAUUGUUGCUAUGAGAUGGUUAUCAGACGUGGAGGGGUAUUUCUCCACGAGUUUAUGCCCUGCUGAUCAGAGGGUGAGGUGUGCUCUGAACCUAUUGAGGCUAGGAGCGAAGGAUUGGUGGAGAUUGACUACGAGGUCAUUUUCCGAUGCGCAGAGGGCUGCGGUUUCAUGGGAUCAAUUCAGAGAGAUGUUCAGUACUCGCUAUGUUCCGCGGGAUGAAAAGGAGAGAUUGGCUCGGGAGUUCCUUGAGCUGAAGCAGGAUUUGGAGUCGGUGACUGAGAUCACCAGGAUGUUUAUUGAGAGGGCGAUGUUUUGCCCUGAGUUCGCUUCGGAGCAGGCUCAGAUGUCCCGAUAUCUGAGUAUGCUCAAGGGGGAUAUCAGACAGUUCGUGUCUGCGCAGAGGUGCGAGACCUUGUUGGUGUUGCAGGAGGCCGCCAUGCGGCGUGAGUUAGAGGUUGAGUUGCAGUUGCGUGAGCUGAGGCAGGCUCCGAUGCAGUCGCAGUCGGCGCCGAAACGGUCCAGGACCGUAGACGUUAGAAUGGGGGAUCGGAGCGGUCACACUUGUGGGAAGUGUGAGAGAGAUGGCACCGGAGCUUGUUGGCCCAGUGGUGCAUGCCGCAAGUGCGGAAAGGAGGGGCACGGUGCACGGGAUUGUCGGCAGUCAGUGCCAAUUCGGGAUUUCAGGAUUUGUUAUCAGUGUCGGCAGGUUGGACAUUUGAGGGUCAACUGUCCACAGCUUUCUGCAGGACCGGUGCAGGCUCUAGCACCGGCCACCUUGAGGAGUUCAGGAGGAGGACAGGAUGGAGCGGAGCCCCAAGGGCUCAGGGUCGUGCUUAUCGGCUUGCGGCAGAGGGAGACGGAGCAGUGCCGGAGGCAGCUGCGGGUAUGAUGCUUUCUUGAUGUCUUGAUUGUCUUGCGUUGAUUGUGGCGUAUUGUUUGUGCUGGUAUCUGGUGUGGAUUUCGAUGCGGUAUUCGUUGUUUCGCGGGUUUGGCAUGGUUAUGGAUUGGUGCUUCAGGUUUUCGCUUGGCAUUCGUUGUUCCCUGAUGGUUUAGUAUGAUUAUAGUUUGGUGUUUUGGUACCGGUAGCCUUGUGCGGUUUUCGAUGCGAUAUUCAACCUUUGGCAGGUUGUGGGUUUGGUUAUGGGUUAUUGCUUGGGAAUUCCGUUGGUCAUCGUUCGUGAGGGUUGAUAGUGGAGAUGCGGCACUGGGUUGAAUGACGGGUAGCAUCUGCAGUUGUGGAGUGGAUAAUUGAAAGAUCGGAUUCUUUUGAGCGGAUUGAUCAGGGAGGAGAUGUGUUUUGCUGAGGGUUGCUUAUGCUUGUGGGAAGCAGUCAGUGGGUAAAUGUUCUCUUUGUGCAGGAUUGUUCUGAAAGGUCGUUAAUGACGAUCGGUGGCAGUUAGUCAGUGCUUUAGUGGGGGAGAAUUGUAAAAUUCUCCGGGAGAUCGAUGAGUAUGUAAGGGUGCUUAGCUGUUGGGAUUCAGCAGUGUUUGUCAGCGCAAAGUAUAGGCCGACGAGAGCGAGUGUUGAGUAUGCGGGGCGAGAUACAGACCUAGGGCAUUUGAUUGUGGAGGCCUGAGAGGAGGUCGGGAUCAAGCUUGAGUAAGUAAUCGGAAUUUUGCGAUCAGAGUAUUGGUACGUUUGAGGUACGUGAUGGGUUGUACUGCAUUAAUCCCACGGGAUUAUGUUGUGCAUGUUUCUAGAGCUGGAACCGGAAGGUUCCCAGAGUUAGAACCUGAGGGUUCGCAGAGUUUGGGUGUACGGACCCACAGAGAUAUAGCCUCGAGUGGCUAGUAUGUGUUAUGAGAGUCGGUCCAGUCAUACUGGAGACUCUGUUGGUAUUGCUGGAUUAGUUUGAGAUUUGCGGAUCGCGUAUGUUGCAGUGUGAUUGCAUUGGAAGGUCUGGCCCCGGGUUAUUGAUCUUGUUUAGCGGAGGCAGUGAUUUUGAUGAGUGGAGAGAGUGCAUGGGAUUGAGAGCCCCUGCAAUGAGAACCAGAGUAUGUGAAUAGCAGUUACGCAAAAAGGGUGGUGUCGCUUGGGGCGAGCACCGUGGCACCGGUUGGAGUGGCAUUAUGUUCAAGAGAGUUCCGUGGAAAAGGAAAAGAGGAGGGUAUGUAACUCCGAAGGGGGUGCAAGUUCACGAAAGUGAAAGCUGCAGAGCAGAGUUAUGGUUAGAGUAUUUCGAGUAUGGUUUUGAGCAUCGUGUUCGCGGCAGUGGAGUAGGAACCCAUCCGGUUGGGAUGUCUGUUGAGGCUCAGAAGGGAUGCAUGGAGAGAGAAAAUUUUAAAUUCUCAGUGUGAAUCUGAUCAGAGUGUAGGGUGGAUGUAGUGGUUCAUCUUGGGAGAUGUUCGAGGAUAUCAUCAGUGUAUCGGGUCUUCCAACCUGCGGGUGUUGGGACUAGUUCAGUAUGUGUAUGUGAUGGCAAGAGGGAACUUGUGAGAGUUGAUCUGAGAGGGAGAACGGAUCUCUCAGUCGGUCCGGAAUGGGCAAAGUGGGCUUUGGAUCGGGGAUCCGGUGGUUCAGGGUUUCCUAACCCUUAUGGGUUGAGUGAUCGUUGAGAUUUGGAGCAGAGUGCAUCUUGGGUAAUUUCCGAUUACAGAGAGUGAUGAGCAGUUCAGAGUUCGUACUUUAGUUGACAAAGCAGACUCAGCAGGUUAAAGAGAGUUAGUGAUCGUCUAGAGUUAACAGGAAAGUUAUGCAGGCAGACGCCGUUACGAGCAUGUGAUUCAGGUCAGCGACUUCGUAUUUCUGACGGGGUGCUUCGAUUUAGGAAGAGGGGUAAAUGGGGGGCCCCGGUAUGUUGGGUCUUUUCGUGAAGGUGCGAAGGUAGGAAGGGUGGCCUAUCGUUUGGAGCUGUCAACGGAAUUGGGACGGAUCCAUGACACUGGUAUGUGUCGCAGUUGAAGAGGUGUAUAGCGGAUGAGUCAGCAGUGGUUCUACUAGAGAACGAUUAGGUGGAUGCGAGCCUGUGUUACGUCGAGAGGCCAGUGGCCGUCGGAGAUCGGAAGAUCAAGGUUCUGAGGAACAAGGAGGUACCUCUGGUAUUGGUUCAGUAGCGGCCUCGGAAGAGAUCGGUGGUGUCUAGGGAAGCCGAAACGUGAGAUGCGGGAGCAGCAGCCAGAGCUAUUUUCAGAGUGAGACUUCGAGGGCGAAGUCUAAUUCUAGUGGGGGAGAAUUGUAACAGCCCAAAAUCUCAAGUAUUGUUAAGUUGCAUUUUGGGGGUGUUUUAAAGGGGAGACUCGACGAGUUGGAGCCAGACUCGCCGAGUAGGGUCGCAGGUUUGGUCGCGGGUUCACGACUGGACUCGACGAGUCCAGAUAUGGACUCGGCGAGUCGACGCUGUUCAGCGGAAACCCUAGCCGUUCAGUAUUGGGUCGUAUAUAAGGGUUAUUAUGCCGUCAUUUCACGACUUUGGAUCGAUUGGGAAGAACCCUAGGCGACUGGGGCGGCUAGAGCAAGCUUGAAGGCCAUUGGUGACCUUGAAGGAAUUGUUGUGCAAGGAGGAGAAGGGUUUUAGCUAAAGGAACUGCAGGGAGUUCGAGUUCUGAAGUUUGGGGACAUGGAAGGUACAUCAUUCAGGUAAUAAUUCGGAUUACAUUCUCCUGUGAUUGAUGUGUAUAUAGAUUUAGGGUUUAUGGAACCCAUUUGGAGUCUAGAUGGAUUGUUGUGUUGUUAUUCAACGUUUAUAACCUUGUAUUAGGACCCUUAGAGGUCCAGAAGGUCCCAUGUUUGUAUAUUCGAGAAUAUAUGUAUCUCAGGAAGCAGUUCGAUCGACUGCAUGGCGUAGACUCGCCGAGUCGGAUGAUCAGACUCGGCGAGUAGCUUGAAGAUUCACUGGGACUCGCCGAGUUUGUUCUUCAGGCUCGGCGAGUAGAGUCGGGGUGGCCCCGCGAUUCUUCCACGAGGACCUCGUCGAGUCAAGAGGGAUACUCGACGAGUAGAAAGGGAUCAUGCAGGAAUUGGUGAGGACGACUAGACUCGCCGAGUCGCCAGGGUACUCGCCGAGUCCAGUCGAGAUGGCCGUUGACCAGAGUUGACCUGUGUGUAACGUUUUAGGGUCAGUUAACGUGGAAGAUAGAAGUAUUAAAAAGAGAUAUAUGAUGAGACAGGGAGCUUGUAGCUCGGAGGAUCAAGUGCAAGAGAUUUCAGGAGUUGCUAUCUUCCAGUGUCCGCGAGGUGAGUCUUCUCACUAUACUGUACCCGGAAGGGUUUGACUGUGUGACCGGAAGGUCGGAUAUGAUAUGUGAUAUGUAUGCUAUAUGUGGUAAGUUAUUUGUUAUAUGUGCUAUGUAUGUUAUGGGCCGGAAGGCGAUUAUAUUAUGGGCCGGAAGGCAAUAUGUUAUGGGCCGGAAGGCGAUAUGAUGUGUGAUGGACCGGAAGGUCGGCGUGGGUAAGGCCGGAAGGUUUACCCAGCAGGGACGGAAGUCCCCUGAGACACAUGGACCGGAAGGUCGGGCCUGGAAAGGCGUAUGUGCGUAAGUUGUAUAUUGGGGAACUCACUAAGCUUCGUGCUUACAGUAUUUAUGUUAUGUUGUUUCAGGUUCUUUCAGUAACGCGGAAUGGCAUCGGCUCGAUUGUACACACCGAGGAAAGAGUUGUAUUUUGGAGGAUCCUGGUUGUCUAUUCAAAUGAAAAUGGAACUAUGUUUUGUAAUUCGAAUAUGAAUAAGAUUUUAAACAAGUGUUUUAAUAUUAAAUUGAUUAUUUAAAUGAAAAAUUUUGCUUUGAAAAUCACGGUGUUACAAUUGGUAUCAGAGCCUUGGUUUGAGGGAUUCGGACGCGCCUACGGGUGAGUCUGGACUCAAACUGAGGAAUUAAGAAAAGGUUUUCAAAUAAAUAGUUUUCUAAAAGUGAAUAAGAGUUCAAAGAGAAAGCAAGAAAGAGCAGUGUGUACAAUCAGCCAGAGCCAAACGGUGAUUUCCCAAAAUACCCUUACUUUUGUAUUAUGAAAUAUCUAUUAUGCACUUUAUGAGACAUUAUUGCAUGCUAGAGACAGGCUAGGUAUUUCACAUCUUAGGACUAGAGUGGCCUGAUUUGUGAUGCCUUAGUCUAGGGUUUGCUGUUAUAUGUGCGUUAUGCUUUUGUGUGUAUGUGAUGAGUGAGAGUAUCUAGUUAGAACGCACAAGGGGUAAAGCUACGGGGUACAGAGGUACUUCCGAGGAUGAGCCGAGAAGGUGGAGCUACCACAGAUGGGGAGUCCUAUGUAUGCUUCAAUGCUCGAAUGCUGCUUGCUUUGUGCUUUGUGGAGUUAUCGAUGAUGGGAGUCAGCUACUAAGUGAGUAUGACGAUACUCAGGAGGUAGAGGGCUGGCAUCAUUAGGAACUCUUCAGCAGCUGAUAGCAAAGAAGUGGGAGGACAGCGGAAGGGACUAGGGAGUAAACCUAGCCAGAUGAGUGCGCUGGUAGAGUAGAGGAUUUCGCUGGAAAGCGAGCACGCGCGAUGAGAUGGGUGAAAGAGCAGGUUUAUCAGCUACUUAGGAACUCUGGGAUGGUCCGUGUGGAAAGUAUGGGUAGAUGUGGCAGGUAGUAUGGGCCCGUACUACUGAAAGCAGAGGACCCAUACUUGAUACAGGGGGCAUUCUGAAGGUCCUAAGGAACAGAUUGAGGGGUGAUGUUAUGGUUCGGAUACCAUACAUCGGAGCGGAUACAGAGUGAUGUUAUGGUCCGGGCACCAUACAUCGGAACAGAUUGAGAUAGAUGUUGUGGUCCGAGUGCUAUACAUUGGAGCAGAUUGAGGAGUGGUGCUAUGGUUCAGGUACCAUACACCGAAGCAUGUUGAGGAGGGAUGUCAUGGGAUGAGUACCAUGGUUCGUAGUGGAUGAUGCUUGUGGCUAUCUUGUUAUCCGGUUAUCGAUCGGACGAGCACGAGCGAGCGGGAUGCGAGGAUUCGCGAGAUCCUGCGUGAUGAGGUUGCUGCAUUGUUGCGGGCUGAGUCGCCAGAAUUGUUUGGGUCGAUCAGGACCACUAUGAUUGAAGUAGUUUGAUGAGCGAUAUGCGGCUUUCGCAGAGACGGCUGCCGCGGCGGUUACAGCGGCUGUAGCAACGGCAAAGAAAGGGGCUAGUCGGGGUUUUCAGUAUCGGGACUUCUAUUAUGCGAAGCCUCCCACAUUCGAUGGAGUUCAGGACUCGAUUGUUGCUAUGAGAUGGUUAUCAGACAUGGAGGGGUGUUUCUCCACGAGUUUAUGCCCUGCUGAUCAGAGGGUGGGGUGUGCUCUGAACCUGUUGAGGCUCGGGGCGAAGGAUUGGUGGAGAUUGACCACGAGGUCAUUUUCCGAUGCGCAGAGGGCUGCGGUUUCAUGGGAUCAAUUCAGAGGGAUGUUCAGUACUCGCUAUGUUCCGCGGGAUGAAAAGGAGAAAUUGGCUCGGAAGUUCCUUAAGCUGAAGCAGGAUUUGGAGUCGGUGACUGAGAGCACCGGGAUGUUUAUUGAGAGGGCGAUGUUUUGCCCUGAGUUCGCUUCGGAGCAGGCUCAGAUGUCCCGAUAUCCGAGUAUGCUCAAGGGGGGGUAUCAGACAGUUCGUGUCUGCGCAGAGGCGCGAGACCGUGUUGGUAUCGCAGGAGGCCGCCAUGUGGCGUGAGUUAGAGGUUGAGUUGCAGUUGCGUGAGAUGAGGCAGGCCCCGAUGCAGUCGCAGUCGGCGCCGAAACGGUCCAUGACCGUAGACGUUAGAAUGGGGGAUCGGAGCGGUCACACUUGUGGGAAGUGUGAGAGAGAUGGCACCGGAGCUUGUUGGCCCAGUGGUGCAUGCCGCAAGUGCGGAAAGGAGGGGCAUGGUGCACGGGAUUGUCGGCAGUCAGUGCCAAUUCGGGAUUUCAGGAUUUGUUAUCAGUGUCGGCAGGUUGGACAUUUGAGGGUCAACCGUCCACAGUUUCCUGCAGGACCGGUGCAGGCUCUAGCAUCGGCCACCUUGAGGAGUUCAGGAGGAGGACAGGAUGGAGCAGAGCCCAAGGGCUCAGGGUCGUGCUUAUCGGCUUGCGGCAGAGGGAGACGGAGCAGUGCCGGAGGCAGCUGCGGGUAUGAUGCUCUCUUGAUGUCUUGAGUAGCUUGCGUUGAUUGUGGCGUAUUGUUUGUGCUGGUGUCUGGUGUGGAUUUCGAUGCGGUAUUCGUUGUUUCGCGGGUUUGGCAUGGUUAUGGAUUGGUGCUUCAGGUUUUCGCUUGGCAUUCGUUGUUCCCUGAUGGUUUAGUAUGAUUAUAGUUUGGUGUUUUGGUACCGGUAGCCUUGUGCGGUUUUCGAUGCGAUAUUCAACCUUUGGCAGGUUGUGGGUUUGGUUAUGGGUUAUUGCUUGGGAAUUCCGUUGGUCAUCGUUCGUGAGGGUUGAUAGUGGAGAUGCGGCACUGGGUUGAAUGACGGGUAGCAUCUGCAGUUGUGGAGUGGAUAAUUGAAAGAUCGGAUUCUUUUGAGCGGAUUGAUCAGGGAGGAGAUGUGUUUUGCUGAGGGUUGCUUACGCUUGUGGGAAGCAGUCAGUGGGUAAAUGUUCUCUUUGUGCAGGAUUGUUCUGAAAGGUCGUUAAUGACGAUCGGUGGCAGUUAGUCAGUGCUUUAGUGGGGGAGAAUUGGAGAAUUCUCCGGGAGAUCGAUGAGUAUGUGAGGGUGCUUAGCUGUUGGGAUUCAGCAGUGUUUGUCAGCGCAGAGUAUAGGCCGACGAGAGCGAGUGUCGGGUAUGCGGGGCGGGAUACAGACCUAGGGCAUUUGAUUGUGGAGGCCUGAGAGAAGGCCGGGAUCAAGCUUGAGUAAGUAACCGGGGUUAUGCGAUCAGAGUAUUGGUAUGUUUGAGGUACGUGAUGGGUUGUACUGCAUUAAUCCCACGGGAUUAUGUUGUGCAUGUUUCUAGAGCUGGAACCGGAAGGUUCCCAGAGUUAGAACCUGAGGGUUCGCAGAGUUUGGGUGUACGGACCCACAGAGAUAUAGCCUCGAGUGGCUAGUAUGUGUUAUGAGAGUCGGUCCAGUCAUGCUGGAGACUCUGCUGGUAUUGCUAGAUCAGUUUGAGGUUGCGGAUUGUGUAUGUUGCAAUGUGAUUGCAUUGGAAGGUCUGGCCCCGGGUUAGUAAUAUUGUUUAGCUGAGGCAGUGAUUUUGAUGAGUGGAGAGAGUGCAUGGGAUUGAGAGCCCCUGCAAUGAUAACCAGAGUAUGUGAAUAGCGGUUUUGAAAAAGGGUGGCGUCGCUUGGGGCAAGCACCGUGGCACCGGUGGGAGUGGCAUUAUGGCCAAGAGGGUCCCUUGGAAGGAAAAGAGAAAGGUGUGUAACUCCGAAGGGGAGUGCAGGUUCACAAGAGUGAAAGCUACAGAGCAGAGUUAUGGUUAAAGUAUUUCGAGUAUGGCUUCGAGCAUCAUGUUCGCGGCAGCGAAGUAGGAACCCAUCCGGUUUGGGGAUGUCUGUUGAGGCUCAGAAGGGAUGCAGGGGGAGAGAGAAUCUUAAAUUCUCAGUGUGAUUCUGAUCAGAGUGUAGGGUGGAUGUAGUGGUUCAUCUUGGGAGAUGUUCGAGGAUAUCAUCAGUGUAUCGGGUCUUCCAACCUGCGGGUGUUGGGGCUAGUUCAGCAUGUGUAUGUGAUGGCAAGAGGAGAACUUGUGAGAGUUGCUCUGAGAGUGAGAAUGGAUCUCUCAGUCGGUCCGGAAUGGACAAAGUGGGCUUUGGAUCGGGGAUCCGGUGGUUCAUGGUUUCCUAACCCUUAUGGGUCGAGUGAUUGUUGAGAUUUAGAGCAGAGUUGCAUCUUGGGUAAUUCUCGGUUACAGAGAGCGAUGGACAGUACAGAGAUCGGGCUUCAGUCGACAGAGCAGAUUCAGCAGAUGAGACAGAGGUUAUUGACCGCCCAGAGCCGACAGGAAAGUUAUGCAGACAGACGCCGGUCCGAGCUUGAGUUUCAGGUCGGUGACUUCGUACUCCUGAAGGCCUCUCCUUGGAGAGGAGUGAUUCGAUUCAAGAAGAGGGGCAAGUUGGGGCCCCGGUAUAUUGGGCCUUUUCAUGUGAUUGCGGGGGUAGGCCUGAGGGUCUACCGGUUGGAGUUGCCCACGGAUUUGAGACAAAUCCACGAUAUUUUUCAUGUGUCGCAAUUGAGGAAGUAUAUAGCCGAUGAGUCGGCAGUGGUUCCAUUAGAAGACAUUCAGGUGGAUGCAAGCCUGAAUUAUGCCGAGAAGCCAGUGGUCGUCAGAGAACGGAAGAUCGAGGUUCUGAGGAACAAGGAGAUACCUCCGGUGUUAGUUCAGUGGCAGCACCGGAGGGGAUCGGAAAUGAACUGUGAUCUGGAACGUGAUAUGUGGGAGCAGCAUCCGGGGCUAUUUUCAGAGUGAGACUUCGAGGGCGAAGUCUAGUUCUAGUGGGGGAGAGUUGUAACAGCCCGGAAUUCCAAAUAUUGAUAUAAUUAUGAUUUUGGGGGUGUUUUAAGAGGGGACUCGGCGAGUUGGAGCCUAGACUCGCCGAGUAGGAUCGCAGACCGGGUCGCGGGUUCGCGACUGGACUCGACGAGUCCAGAUAUGGACUCGGCGAGUCUGCGCUGUUUGGCGAAAACCCUAACCGUUCAGGUUUGGGACGUAUAAGAGGCACUUAUUGGCCGUCAUUGUUCAUUUUGGCCUUCUGAGAAGAACCCUAAAUCGAUUGGGUGCAUCUGGAGCAAAGUUUAAGGGCCAUUGUUGAUCUUGGAAGGGUUGUGGUGCAAGGAAGAGAAGGGCUUGGCUAAAGGAACAGCAAGGGAGUCACGUUCUGAGGAUUUGGGGACACAGAGGGCACAUUAUUCAGGUAAGAAUUCGAAUUAUGCUCUGCUAUGUUGAUGUGUCAUGGAAUUAGGGUUUAUGGAACCCCUUUGUGAUUAGAUUAAGUGUUACCCUUGUUCCCCAAACGACUAUAACCCUGUAUUAGGACCUUAGAGGUCCAGAAGGUCCCAUGCUUGUGUAUUUCGGGACAAUACUUAUCUCAGGAAGCAGUUUGAUCGACUGCAUGGCAUGGACUCGACGAGUCCGAUGAACAGACUCGGCGAGUAGCUUGAAGAAUAACUGGGACUCGUCGAGUUGUUCUUCAGACUCGGCGAGUUGAGUCGGGGUGGCCCCGCGAUUCUUCCAGGAGGAACUCGUCGAGUAAAAAGGGGAUACUCGACGUGUAGAAAGGGAAUCUUAAGGAAUCGGUGAGUCAAGGGCGAGUGGACUCAGAGUCGUUGAACUCGGCGAGUCUUGGGGUGACUCGGCGAGUUAGGUCGCGGGUUAAGUGAAGUUCUGAGUAUGGGGACUCGGCGAGUCAUAGGGUUGACUCGGCGAGUAGGGUCAGUCAGGGGUUGACUUUGACCUUGUCUUUGACCAAGGAUUUACCAGUGGUUCCAGGGGUAUUUUGGUAAUUGUUGUUAUUGUUUGAGUUCAGUGCAUUGGUGACUAUCCAGAGGUGGAGAUCGUAUCAGUGAUCGGAGCAGCUUGAGCUAUCUGUUCAGUCGGCAGUUUCGAGGUGAGUUAUCCUCACUAUAUCGUUAGGGUUUAUGGCACCAAGGCCGACCCUUUUUACCGGAUAGAAAUCCGGGUAGUUGUCAUUAUAUGUUACAGGCCGGAAGGCAUUACUAUGUGGACCGAAAGGUCAUGGCCUGGAAAGGCGUAUGUAUGCAUUUAGUACGUUGACUGAUUCAUAGGGUAAUGUUAUGAUAGUGACCGGCUAGACCGGUAUCUUGUUAGAGUAAUGCUAUGAUAUGUGAUCCGUUGAUCGAUGGUUGUCUAUGAACUGCUAUAUGAUUGUUUGUUAUGUUAUAUAUGUAUUUUAUGCUUAUGGGCCGGAAGGCAAUAUGUUAAGGGCCGGAAGGCGAUAUGUUAUGGGCCGGAAGGCAAUAUGUUAUGGACCGGAAGGUCAGGGCCUGGAAAGGCGUAUAUGUGGUUGGUAUUCUGGGGGUAUCUCACUAAGCUUUCGGGCUUACAGUUGUGGUUUUAUGUUUCAGGUUCUCAAGAGUCUGUGGCAAGGCCAAGGCAUGAUCGUACCGUUCCACGCGUUGGU